UGAGCUAAACAUAUUCUUGUACAACUGAUAACCCAAGACAUCAAAAUACCAAAGACUAGCUAAAUUCCCCUCAAACCACUGCCCAUUCCUGUAUAUGGUAGACAUUAUCAAAUCAGGAAACAAAGUCCAGCUAUAUAAGCUAACUGUCAUGCAACAGUGUCUCCAAACUUUGUGGCAGCACCUGUAGUGUACGAACAGGAGAAUCACAUUGAUCGCUGAAUCCACUGACACAAGAGAAGGAACGACCAGACACAAUGAAAGUUUGUCUGUACAUCCUGCUACUCUUUAGCCACCUGUUCCUUUAUACUAUAGCUUGGGAUUGUGAAGUGAUACCUGGUACUCUGAAGCGGCUAGGGAUGGUAGGUGGUGUGAACAAUGACAGUUAAGUCUUCCUGUUCCUGGGGACCAAAUCUGAAAGGAUAAGGUCAUCCCUGAAGCACUUUACUGUCGGACCUGCUGGAGAGCUAGGGGCAAAUUCAUCAAAAAAUAUCUUCAGGUUU